rnacentral:rRNA from 2 species
AGGUGCGAUCAUACUAGCACUAAAGCACCGGAUCCCAUCAGAACUCCGCACUUAAGCGUGCUUGGCAAGAGUAGUACUAGGAUGGGUGACCUCCUGGGAUGUUCUCUUGUUGCACCUC